GCGAGCGAACGGGGAGCAGCCCAGAGCCUGAAUCAGUGUGUGUGUUAGUGGAAGCGUCUGGAAAGGCGCGCGAUACAGGGUGACAGCCCCGUACACAAAAAUGCACAUGCUGUGAGCUCGAUGAGUAGGGCGGGACACGUGGUAUCCUGUCUGAAUAUGGGGGGACCAUCCUCCAAGGCUAAAUACUCCUGACUGACCGAUAGUGAACCAGUACCGUGAGGGAAAGGCGAAAAGAACCCCGGCGAGGGGAGUGAAAAAGAACCUGAAACCGUGUACGUACAAGCAGUGGGAGCACAGAGCAAUCUGUGUGACUGCGUACCUUUUGUAUAAUGGGUCAGCGACUUAUAUUCUGUAGCAAGGUUAACCGAAUAGGGGAGCCGAAGGGAAACCGAGUCUUAACUGGGCGUUAAGUUGCAGGGUAUAGACCCGAAACCCGGUGAUCUAGCCAUGGGCAGGUUGAAGGUUGGGUAACACUAACUGGAGGACCGAACCGACUAAUGUUGAAAAAUUAGCGGAUGACUUGUGGCUGGGGGUGAAAGGCCAAUCAAACCGGGAGAUAGCUGGUUCUCCCCGAAAGCUAUUUAGGUAGCGCCUCGUGAAUUCAUCUCCGGGGGUAGAGCACUGUUUCGGCAAGGGGGUCAUCCCGACUUACCAACCCGAUGCAAACUGCGAAUACCGGAGAAUGUUAUCACGGGAGACACACGGCGGGUGCUAACGUCCGUCGUGAAGAGGGAAACAACCCAGACCGCCAGCUAAGGUCCCAAAGUCAUGGUUAAGUGGGAAACGAUGUGGGAAGGCCCAGACAGCCAGGAUGUUGGCUUAGAAGCAGCCAUCAUUUAAAGAAAGCGUAAUAGCUCACUGGUCGAGUCGGCCUGCGCGGAAGAUGUAACGGGGCUAAACCAUGCACCGAAGCUGCGGCAGCGACGCUUAUGCGUUGUUGGGUA
rnacentral:rRNA from 1 species